AUGGGCUUCUGGGAUGGUUCACAAGUUUCAAAAGUGGUCCUGCCAAGAGGAGGCAAACCAUUAGAAGAGAAGGUUUCUCAGAAGACAACUCAGAAGAUCUGGUCCUCCCUUCCCUUUGAGGACUUGGCACAUUUUAUCAUGAUCUUCACAGUCAAAGACUUUAGUGUAGUCAGUGAAGCAAAAGUAGAUCUUCUUUUUCUGGAAUUCCAUUGCUUUCUCCUUAAUCUAGUGAAUGCUGGCAAUUUGGUUUCGAAUUCCUCUGACCCUUAGAAAACCAGCCUGAUUUUCUGGUAAUUCUUGAUUCACAUAUUGCUGAAGCCUACCUUGAUUCAUGUAUUGCAGAAGCUUGCUGACAUGUGAAAUGAGCAUAAUUGUUCAAUAAUUGGAAUAUUCCUGAGCAUACCCUUCUUUAGGAUCGAGGUAAAUUGGUCUUUUCCAAACCAGAAACCACUAUUAAGUUUUCCAAAUUUGUUGCCAUAUUGAGUUCAGCAUUUUGAGAAAGUUUAAAAUAGCUCAUCUGGAAUUCCAUUAUCUUCUCUAGUCCCAUUUUUAGCAAUGGUUCCUAAGGC
rnacentral:lncRNA from 1 species